GGACCCGCACAAGCGGUGGAUGAUGUGGUUUAAUUCGAUGCAACGCGAAAAACCUUACCUACCCUUGACAUGUCUGGAAUCCUGAAGAGAUUUGGGAGUGCUCGAAAGAGAGCCAGAACACAGGUGCUGCAUGGCCGUCGUCAGCUCGUGUCGUGAGAUGUUGGGUUAAGUCCCGCAACGAGCGCAACCCUUGUCAUUAGUUGCUACGAAAGGGCACUCUAAUGAGACUGCCGGUGACAAACCGGAGGAAGGUGGGGAUGACGUCAGGUCAUCAUGGCCCUUAUGGGUAGGGCUACACACGUCAUACAAUGGCCGGUACAGAGGGCUGCCAACCCGCGAGGGGGAGCCAAUCCCAGAAAACCGGUCGUAGUCCGGAUCGUAGUCUGCAACUCGACUGCGUGAAGUCGGAAUCGCUAGUAAUCGCGGAUCAGCUUGCCGCGGUGAAUACGUUCCCGGGUCUU
rnacentral:rRNA from 1 species